UAGGAGAAAGUCAGUCUUCGUCUGGUUUUAUGAGUUUUUUUUUAGAUUUUAAGUUUUAAAAUGGUCAAACGGUGUUCACGGGGUACAUGCGACUCCAAAACAAGGUAUCCCGAGAGGCUGGGCGACGGAGUGUAUUUUUUUUAACCCUUUCCUAAGCCACAUCUCAACCGAGAAAAGUGUGUCCUUUGAGUAAAGUUGCACGGUCGGCCACAACUCAACGUGAAUAAAAUUAACAAGGAUGUCUACAUCUGUUUUAAGAUUAAAGGGAUCAGAUGCAUCAUGGAAGAAUGACCAGGAACCUCCUGCUGAGGAAAUGGAUGUGCUGCCAGCUGAGAAAAUAAUGGCAGCGUGUAAGAGAGCGGUAUCUGGCCAAAAUAACUCCAAAUAAUCCACGAAGUGAGUAAAGUCACUAGGGACCAACUUUUUUCCACAUACACGUCUCCUAACGUUGUCGUCGUCGUCGUCGGAGGAGGAGGAGGAGCCUCACUAACCUUUUUAUUCACUGGUAAUAUCCUCCUCUCCCCAGACACAUCCACACAUCUGAUGUUUUAUUUCUGCUGUAAAUGUAAAUAUCAGAAUC